rnacentral:rRNA from 1 species
AUGCACGCUGGCGGCGUGCCUCAUACCUGCAAGUCGAGCGAACGGACGAGAAGCUUGCUUCUCUGAUGUUAGCGGCGGACGGGUGAGUAACACGUGGAUAACCUACCUAUAAGACUGGGAUAACUUCGGGAAACCGGAGCUAAUACCGGAUAAUAUUUUGAACCGCAUGGUUCAAAAGUGAAAGACGGUCUUGCUGUCACUUAUAGAUGGAUCCGCGCUGCAUUAGCUAGUUGGUAAGGUAACGGCUUACCAAGGCAACGAUGCAUAGCCGACCUGAGAGGGUGAUCGGCCACACUGGAACUGAGACACGGUCCAGACUCCUACGGGAGGCAGCAGUAGGGAAUCUUCCGCAAUGGGCGAAAGCCUGACGGAGCAACGCCGCGUGAGUGAUGAAGGUCUUCGGAUCGUAAAACUCUGUUAUUAGGGAAGAACAUAUGUGUAAGUAACUGUGCACAUCUGGACGGUACCUAAUCAGAAAGCCACGGCUAACUACGU